rnacentral:rRNA from 1 species
GACGAACGCUGGCGGCGUGCUUAACACAUGCAAGUCGAACGAUGAAGAAGAGAAACGCGAACUUCGGUUCAACUUUCACUUCGGAUUAGUGGCAGACGGGUGAGUAACGCGUGAGCAACCUACCUCUUACAAAGGGAUAGCCUCGGGAAACCGUGAUUAAUACCAUAUGACACAUUCAUAAGGCAUCUUAAGAAUGUUAAAGCUACGGCGGUAAGAGAUGGGCCCGCGUCCCAUUAGCUAGUUGGUGAGGUAACGGCCCACCAAGGCGACGAUGGGUAACCGGCCUGAGAGGGUGAACGGUCACAUUGGAACUGAGACACGGUCCAAACUCCUACGGGAGGCAGCAGUGGGGAAUAUUGCACAAUGGAGGGAACUCUGAUGCAGCGACGCCGCGUGAGCGAUGAAGGAAUUCGUUUCGUAAAGCUCUGUUCUAUGGGAAGAAAAGGACUGUACCAUAGGAGAAAGCCCCGGCUAAAUACGUG